ACGGCCGAGCGUGCAGAGGAGGGACGGUGCGCCGGAGAUGGCAGCCCACGUCCUGCGCGGCAGCCGAGUGGUGCAGCAGCUGGUGCGACAGCGGCGUGCGGCGGCGGUGGCAGGCGGCGGCGGCGGCGGCGGCGUGCCGGCGCCGGCCGCCGCGCUCGCCGGCCGCGCCAAGUCCACACAGGCCACAGAGCUGACCGCCGAGGCCGCCAAGCUUGGUCCGCAGCGCGACCAGCUCGACCUGACGUUCACCGACACGCGCGCCGCCUUCCAGAGCAAGACCACCUGGGAGGUGUUCCGCGGCGUGCUGGUGUACACGCUGUGCACCUCGCGCUACCUGGUGGAGCACAACGCUACGCUGAUGAAGCUGUUCCGGAAGUUGUUGGGUCAGAAGCUGUUCCAUACCGUGAUGAGAGCCACAUUCUAUGGACAGUUUGUGGCAGGCGCUGACCAGGCUUCAAUCCGUCCACAAAUUGAGAACAUGCGCUCAUUCGGAGUCAAGUCGAUACUGGACUACUCCGUGGAGGAGGAUAUCAGCACUGAGGAGGCCGAACAGGCUGAGAUGAGGUCGUGCUCCACUCCAGGAGAACAGGAGCAGGAGUUGACCGUUCAAAAGGACCCGAUGGCGCGCUACCACGCACACAGGGAGUUCGCUGACCGACGGGUCAAGGUGCAGAGCGCUCGCACCUACUUCUACAUGAACGAGGCGCAGUGCGAAAAGAACAUGGAGACGUUCCUCAAGAGUAUCGAGGCUGUGUCAGGCUCCACCCAGUGCACGGGCCUGGCAGCAAUCAAAAUGACCGCCCUCGGCCGGCCACAGCUGCUGAUGCAGCUGAGCGAGGUGAUCAUGAGGACGCGCCGCUACCUGGCCGAGCUGGCCGGCAGUGAGCGCGCCACGGACGUCAUCAGCCAGGACGUGUCCGUCGAGCAGAUCCAGAGUCGGCUCAAGGAGACCAGCGGCCCCGGCGUCGAACAGUGGCUCAAAGGGCUCACCUACGACCAGGACGGUCUGAUCCACCUGUUCUCGUGGUCGGGCCUGAUCGACACCAAGACGUUGAUGAGUGACCUGUUCCGCGUGCCCAACCUGACUACGGGCCGCAUGGAGCCGCUCAUCACCUCGCUCACCAAGGACGAGGAGGAGAUGUUCAAGAACAUGAUGCGCCGGCUGCACACCAUCUUUUCGUAUGCGCGCGAGUGCGACGUGCGGGUGAUGGUGGACGCCGAGCAGACCUACUUCCAGCCGGCCAUCUCCCGACUCACUAUGGAGCUGAUGCGCAAAUACAACAGGGAAAAGGCGAUCGUGUUCAACACGUACCAGUGCUACCUGAAGGAGGCCUACCACAACCUGUCGGUCGACCUGGACCAGGCCGACCGGCAGCACUUCUACUUCGGCGCCAAGCUGGUGCGCGGAGCGUACAUGGAGCAGGUAACUGAGCCCACCGCGUCGCGCCGCGCCGCGCCGCAGGUUUGUAUCGCCGCGCCGCCCCCGCCGCACCUUAGGCAGUCAGCCGGUGGGCGCCUGAUGAGCGAGUGGCGUGGGCGUGUGCGUGCUGACGCUCAGUAUGAGCCUUCGGUUAGACGUGUCAUUGACUGCCUUUCACCUAGCUGUGCCGUGUGUUUCAGCCAAGUUUGCACUCAUUUCCCUGGCAUGGUUUUCGCUGGCCGCGAUCUGUCUUCUCUAACAACUUGCCAAGAAAAAUGGAAUGCUGUGCGCGCUCGCGGCCAAGCCGCUGGUGUCCUUCGGCCUCGGAGCGUUUGUUUGGCUCUGGGCACGAGUUUCAGUAUGUAGGUGCAUACAGGAUAGCUGCGCAGUUCCUUCCCAGUGGGCGGGACUGGUCGGCUGGCACACGCCGGCAUGGGGCGUCGUUAGCCUCUCCGAGUUUACAUUUACUCGGACUUCUGAGUCUUGCUUUUACUGGACAUUGCACCACUGCCCACGUUGUGCGCCUUACACAACAUUAGGAGGCGGCUGGCUGUAUAGCUGGCCGGGCGGCCGCGGCGGGCCUGCUCCAUGGCUCUGCGCCGCUCCCAGGCCCGCCGGCCGCUGCGCCACGUGACGGUGCGAUCAAUACGGCGGCGGCCGGCGCGGCGUCGCGUCGGCCGGUAAAAUUAGAACGCCGCCGGCGCUGCGCAGAGGGGGCGUGGCGGUGACCCGACCGGAUAUGGGGGAGGAGACAGGAGUGCCGCAAUUAGACCGAGUCCAGGUCAACAAUCGGCACACACGGCUUUUUAAAAACGGGAGGAAAAUUCAACGUUUUUUUGCUUGAUUUUGCAAAACAAUUUCACUUCUGGUAGUUAGUGAGCGGCUGCCAAUGUAAUACAAAGCUGAUUAAAGAGGCUGAACAACUUUUCAUGGUGUUUAGCGUUACGUGCAUUGGGCAUUUAUGGAUCGGGGGCUGAGGUUGGAACGACGGAACCUGCUCAGCAAACUUUGUUAACCCAGGCUUCAGAGUUUGGACAAAGGAAAUUCGAAUUCAUUGAAAUUCAUUGAGGACGAAUUGUAUUUCAUUGCAACGCAAAGUGAAGUGGACAUACAGAACAGAUAAUAGCUGACUGCUACUCGUAGAUACAAGAUAGACGCCGAUAAUUGGGAUAGCUCGUAUUUGAUAGAGACAGAAAAUGUGGUCUAUGGGCGUCCCUAUUCACUGGACACUUGUCCGCCUGUAACGAAUAUUAUGUGAUAAACAUACAACAAGGCACCAACUACCCAGCCAUCAGUCGGCGAUAUUAUCCGACAGCAUGCGCUUUCAACUGUCUUCCAUUCUUUCUGCCGCUUGAUGCCUACAUAUUUCCUCCAUAUGCCUGGCAUGAAAUCAUUCGAUGACACGCCGCCUCACAGUCUAACAGAGACGUGUGUGCUGUUUUCCGUGGGAGGGCGGGAGCGGUGGGCUGGCGAGGGCUAACCCGUUGGCCACUGAUGCCACCCACCGAACCCGCCGGCGCCUGCCUGACACAGACCGACAUUAGCUGCCUACUGACCAUCGACGUCGAUCAACAAACGCUCCCCUAUUUAGUGAUUGGCAUAACUUGCCCCAGUGCUAACAUACGUGCGUAGACUUUUGUCAGUCGCGCGGGGAAUCGGCGAGCUCUGUGCGUCUCGGCAGUUGGGAGUUGUCGCUGUGCCAACUGCUCACUGACCAAAGUCUGAACUGAGCAGUCAGAUCACCUCUCGUAAUGAGGCAUCACAAACCACUGUGAAUGCUCAGAGUUUGACAUUUUUUCUAGCAAAUAAUGUGGGUGCGAUGUCGAUGCAACUUUUCGUUGUGGCUUACUGAAAUAGCCUAGUCAUGCGUUCUACGCCGUGCAAAAUAAAUCAGCAUGGGCAAUAGUAUCUUCACCUUACGUUAGAAUGCGCUGCUCUGCUUCUUCUUGAGCAUUCCUUUCCUUGUUUUCCUGCUGAACCGAUCUGUUGUUUAGAACUUGUUCUUUUGCUUAUGAGAAUGCAUGCAAAUCAAUGCAAAUUUAGGCCAUUGUCUGGCGUGAAUACUGAUAGUUCAACUGCUCUGAAGACUUUCAACGCAAAAUAUGUUUUAGUCCAAUGUCCAUUUGUCAAAAUGUUGACCUCUUGAUCUGUCAAGUCUGUAUUGAAGCGUGCGCUAGUAACAACGGUUUCCAUUAGCAGGCAUAUAUAUUCAAUUAUUCGAGAUAUACAUAUACGGUAGGCUCUAGAUGCCAUAAUAGUCUUUUCGCCCUCUUGCACCACCAGCAGAGGACUAUGUUUUAGCUAUGUUAGGCAGGGCAUGUUGUCAAUCACUUUUUCUUCUACAGAAGCUUCUAUCAGCUUCGGGAUGCUCGCGCGGAGGCCGGGGAAAGCCACGGCAGUGAGCGGCGUACAGAGCGCGCUGUGAUCCGUCCAGGUCUCUCGAGUUGAUCUGGAGACAGUUAAGUGUAUCCUGGGCUCCCUCGACUGCGGCCUCUCUGCCAGCUCUCUUCAAAAGAAGCUCUCGUUCUUAUCCGUCCCAUGAGUACCUUACUUGUCUAGUGUCGGGACCGACCUUGCGAAUAUUCAUUGUCAUUCGUGACCUGGCCACAGGCACAGGUAAGUUCGAUUGGAUUCAAUUAAAAAAGAAUGAGAAGUGAAAUUUCCAUGGUCAUCGUUCGGUGAGUUGCUUUGCCAUUGCCUCGUGAAUCCGUCUCACCAGUUGGUACAUGCACCGUCUCGACCUCGGUGCAUAUCGCCCUGCGCCGCCGCCGGCCCCCAGUGACGCCGCCGCCCGCCCGCCCGGGACACAGGGCUGCUUCGGCCCAGUGCUGAGCCUGACGGCCUGCUCGCGCCCCCAGGAGCGCUACCGAGCCGCCUCGCUCGGUUACGAGGACCCCAUCAACCCAACGUUCGAGGCCACCUCGGAGAUGUACGAGCGCUGUCUGCUGGAGACGCUGCGGCGCAUCCAGCACUACAAGAAGUACGGCCAGCCGCGCAAGCUGGCCAUCAUGGUGGCCAGCCACAACGAGGACACGGUCCGCUUCACCGUCCAAAAGAUGGACGAGCUGGACAUCAAGCGCGAGGACAAGGUGGUCUGUUUCGGCCAGCUGCUCGGCAUGUGCGACCACGUGUCGUUCCCGCUAGGCCAGGCGGGCUACUCGGUCUACAAGUACGUGCCGUACGGGCCGAUCGACGAGGUGCUGCCCUACCUGUCGCGGCGCGCGCAGGAGAACAAGGGCAUCCUCACCAAGGUGGCCAAGGAGCGCAAGAUGCUGAGGAGCGAGCUGCUGCGCCGGCUGGUCUCCGGCCAGCUGUUCUACAAGCCGGUGGGAAACUACACACCGGUGUGAGCGCAGCGCCGCCGCGCCGCCCGUACAGGCACUACUAGUUGCAUUCGACACCGGCAGCCGGCGCUGCCGUCGAAGUGGCUGUGAUGCUUUGGAAUCAAUGGAAUUCAGGAAUACUCGUGGCGCGCGUCGCGCAAUAGAGGUUCACUUGCGCGUGCAGUUUCUCGUAUAUUAUGUGACGUCAUUGUCUGUAUGUUCAUAUGUUUAUUUAUGAUCGCAUUACUUGUACAGCCAGUCACUUGCCAGCUGAUUAAUGGCCUCGGUAGAGAAUGCGGGUCGAAAUCUUUGAUGUGAUGAAUGUCGGCAUAAGCGCGGCUCCCCCAGUGUCUGUGACAUUGUCGAUUGCUUGCACUAGCCGGGUAGCCCGUUUCUAGCUUUAUGGCUGGAGAAUUAGCUACGUUACACGCCGGGGUCGCUCGGCGGCGCGGGCGCCUCGGCUGCUGUGCCGUGUAGACCGCACCCAUGUGCUUAGCCUGGCGCAUAGCCGGCCCGCCGGCCGCCGGUGCCCUGUCACGGGCCGAGGUCAGCCCCCCAGGCGGCGGCAUUUCUGUAGAUAUGAAUAUAUCGUAUAUCGAGUG